rnacentral:rRNA from 1 species
CGACCGGCGCACGGGUGAGUAANACCCGUAUCCAACCUGCCGUCUACUCUUGGACAGCCUUCUGAAAGGAAGAUUAAUACAAGAUGGCAUCAUGAGUCCGCAUGUUCACAUGAUUAAAGGUAUUCCGGUAGACGAUGGGGAUGCGUUCCAUUAGAUAGUAGGCGGGGUAACGGCCCACCUAGUCUUCGAUGGAUAGGGGUUCUGAGAGGAAGGUCCCCCACAUUGGAACUGAGACACGGUCCAAACUCCUACGGGAGGCAGCAUG